GCGUUGUCAAAUGUGUCAUCAGAAGGCCUGCUCAUGCCUUUGAACCCCGAGGGCAGAGUCACCCGCUUGUGGACAAGCAGGAAGAAAAGCCACAGCUCCACAGCUCAGCAGCAGACAGCCAUCUGGAACCUGAGCUCCACAGAACUCAAUGAAAAAGCAACUAUAACAGAAGAGAUACGUACGUUAUAUUCUCUGUUUACUUUGUUUAUGUUUAUGUCUGAAUUUACUUUGAAACGCUUCAGCAUUGGCAGUGUGAUUUGCUUGUGUAUGUUAUUUAGAUGUAAUCUGCACCCAAGGGAUGAUCACUUGCUGUAAUUGGGAAUGCGUACUCCAGGGAUGGUUAGUUAAUAUUUACCAAAGUAGCAGACAACACAGAAAAUGAGAGCCAAGUGAAAGGGGAAACCCCUUAUAAAAUCAUCAGAUCUUGUGAGACGUAUUUACUACCAUGAGAACAGUAUGGGGGAACCGCCCCAUGAUUCAAUUAUCUCCCACCAGGUCCCUCCCACAAUAUGUAGGAAUUAUGGGAGCUGCAAUUCAAGAUGAGGUUUGGGUGGGGACACAGCCAAACCAUAUCACCCGAUAACAAGGUUAAGAAGGGGGAAGAGCCAAUAUCUUCACCUCAUCAAGGUUGGAUCCAACUUUUGUGGGGCCUGAGACUUACAUACCUUCAGGGUCUUCUCUGAAAAAGAUGUAUUAAAAAUUAUAAAUACAAAAUUAGCGAUGAAAAUGAAUACAGAAUGAGAAAAAAAUGACUUCAAUUUUUUUUUUUUUUUUGAGAUAGAGUCUCACUUUGUCUCCCAGGCUGGACUGUAGUGGCGCGAUCUCAGCUCACUGCAACCUCUGCCUCCAGGGUUCAAGCGAUUCGCCUGCCUUAGCCUCCCGAGUAGCUGGAAUUACAGGCAUGCACCACCAUGCCUGGAUAAUUUUUGUAUUUUUAGUAGAGACGGGGUUUCACCAUGUUGGCGGCUGAUCUUGAACUCCUGACCUCAGGUGAUUCACCUGCUGUGCCCUCCCAACGUGCUGGGAUUACAGACGUGAGCCACUGUGCCCGGCCAAUGACUUCAAAUAUUGAAAAGUUUACAAAUACCACAAAAAUCCCCCAAAUAACAUAAUAUUUCUAUUAAUUAAUGGUUGAUAUGGCUGUGUAAUACAUUUUCUUACUUUUUUGCUGCGUCCUCCUUGAUGGCCUCUUCAUGUCACCACCAUGUUGUAAUACUUUCUAUAGAGAGAAUAAAAUAAUUCAGUGCUUCCUCUAACUUGGUUGAUCAAAAUUUUUUCCAUGUUAAUUUUUAAGAUUCAUAAAACAUGCAACUUCAAUAGACAAGUUCACUCUUUGUAGUUCUUCCACAAGGUUGUGCACUAUAAACAGAAAAAUUCUGAUGAAUUUAGUUUUGCAUAAUAUCUUCACAAAAGAAAACAUCAUGGAGUGUUUAUAAUUGUAUACACUGCAUAUAAAGCACACUCCUGACAGAAUGUCCUUUACUAGAAAUGGAUGAGAACAGAAUCCUCCACUAGGAAUUGUUUAUGUCUUGAUGGAAAGACACUUCCAGAGAUUAGUUUCUGGCUUCGCACAAUUAAAACCUUGUUUCUUCCCCUCUCCCUGUAAGGAUCCAGUGCUGGGUGCCAUAGCCUAGGUUCAUGCUCAUAGGUGCUCUGGUUCCGUAUCUUCCUGUUAUAUCACUCGGUAAGUUUGCCCCGUGGGUGGUAAGAAUAUUCCUGCACAGGACAGCUAGGAAUAAGUUAACUAUACAUGGAAAUGUCUGCAAACCACAUAAAUACCUCCCACUAAACCGCAGCUAAAUGUAUCACCAACUCAACUUUCCUUAACUAGAUCCCCAAAAUGCUUACGGUCACUCCCCACCACCUGAAAGGGGAGACUGGCUGAAAGAAAUUCAUAAUGGAAAGAGAGAGUGCCUUAUUCCAUUGUGGUUCAAAUCUGUCCUUGGCAAAAUUUAUAAAACCAUCUACCAUGUAAACAGAUGGCUGGGGACCCUCCCAGGGCCUUGGAAGUGGUCCAUCACAUGAGAGCUCUGAUAUUUAGCUUUGUUUGUUUCGUAAUACAGUGCCUCUCCACCAAACUAUAGAGGGUCACCAAUAUUUACCUUGGGAACAGCCAGUUGAAUUAGGUGGGUUUGCAACAAAG
rnacentral:lncRNA from 10 species